rnacentral:rRNA from 1 species
CAAUAGCGUAUAUUAAAGUUGUUGCGGUUAAAAAGCUCGUAGUUGGAUUUCUGUUGGGAACGACCGGUCCGCCCAUUGGGUGUGUAUCUGGCUUGUUCUCGGCAUCUUCUUGGUGAACGUUGCUGCACUUGACUGUGUGGAGCGCUACCCAGGACUUUUACUUUGAGGAAAUUAGAGUGUUUCAAGCAGGCAUAUGCCUUGAAUACAUUAGCAUGGAAUAAUAAGAUAGGACCUCGGUUCUAUUUUGUUGGUUUCUAGAGCUGAGGUAAUGAUUAAUAGGGAUAGUUGGGGGCAUUCGUAUUUAACUGUCAGAGGUGAAAUUCUUGGAUCGCGGUAAGAUGAGCUUAGGCGAAAGCAUUUACCAAGGAUGUUUUCAUUAA